rnacentral:lncRNA from 1 species
CAAACUUGAAUCGUUGAUUGUCCUCAAGUAACAAAACACAAUGCAAACAAGAAAAACUAAAUAUACCAUGCAAAUGCACAUAUAACUAUCUAUAUGUGUAUAAUACCAGCAGUCAAACCGAAUUCAGUAUACUCAUUAGGCCUCAGAAAAAUCACAAUAACAUGCUAGUACAUCAUAUCAAGAUAGAUCAAUAAUAUCCCAACAAUCAAUAAAUCUAAACCUAUUAUUACUGAUAUCGUGUGUGUGUGCUCAACAACCAUGCUAACUGAUGAAAAGAGAAAUACAAAACAUAAUAGAUUUCUUAGAAGGUAUCAUACAGUGUAAAUUCGAGAACUCCUCAAAUAAACUAAAUCCGGCUAAAAUCAAACAAUUACCAAAGUCCAAGGGUUAAAGUGGAAUACUUAUGCUUUUUUUUUUAACGGGGGCUUUUUGACUUUUUUCCGUUUUAUUCAUUUUUUUUAUUUAUUACCCAUGACUGUGCAAUGUCUUAUUCCAUUAGGCUAACAGUGCUACCCCUUAACGAGCUUUCGACCAACGACUCCCAGACCAUAUAAGACCUUAGGGCGCUAGGUGUAGAGACACUCCCUCAGGCUUACUUGCUCAAGUAACAAAGGCCCCGAAACAAAACUAGCCAUAAUUUUUUUUAAGCUUAUAUAAUCCAAAUAUAUCCCCCAAACUUAAUUUCAUGUCUGCUUCAGCCAUCAUUAGCUAUUCAUGUUAUUAUUUCACUCAACUAGCACUUAUCCUUUAGAAAUCUAUUAUCUAACCAUUUAAACUUACUCAACCAACAUGGUCGUUCCUUAACAUGUGCUAUUAUGAUAAUAUCAGUUUCAAACAGAUAAAGAUUUAAAUCAUGUCAAGAAAAUCACAUCACCGACUUAACAAUCCUUACUAGGCUUGAUUAUGCAAUUUUAGAUUCAUC